rnacentral:tRNA from 1 species
GGCGGCGUAGCUCAGUUGGCAGAGCACACGGCUCAUAUCCGUUAGGUCAUUGGUUCAAGCCCAAUCGCCGCUA